rnacentral:rRNA from 1 species
UAAGCGGAGGAAAAGAAACUAACAAGGAUUUCCUAAGUAGCGGCGAGCGAACAGGAAAUAGCCCAGCACUGAAUCCCGCGGUUCUGCCGCAGGGAAAUGUAGUGUUCGGGAGGGUCCGUUCAUCCCGAGACGUCGUACCGAGUCCAAGUCCAUCUUGAAUGGGGCCAUUUACCCGCAGAGGGUGCCAGGCCCGUAGCGACCGGAACGCGUCUUUGGAGGACCUCUCCUUAGAGUCGGGUUGCUUGAGAGUGCAGCUCUAAGUGGGUGGUAAACUCCAUCUAAGGCUAAAUACGACCACGAGACCGAUAGCGAACAAGUACCGUGAGGGAAAGUUGAAAAGAACUUUGAAGAGAGAGUUCAAGAGUACGUGAAACCGUUCAGGGGUAAACCUGAGGAACCCAAAAGAUCGAACGGGGAGAUUCAUCGUCAGCGAGGCAGGCUUCGCGAGGGCGUAGCGAUGUUCGUNGGACUUCGGUUCGACGGCACGCCGUUCUCGUGUUUCACGUCUUGUCGCGUCGGCGUGCACUUCUCCCCUUGUAGAACGUCGCGACCCGUUGGGUGUCGGUCUACGGCCCGGGUGGAUGCCUGUCUCGUCGUUUCGGCGAACGAGGCAGAACCCCGGUGUUCCCGACCGGCUGCUCGGCGGUACUCGCACGGUAUAGGGCCGCAAGCAAACGUGCGUCCAGGUCCGUCGCAAGCGCGUUCAUCGUUUCCCGGAGUAACGGACUUUGCGCCGUACCCGGGCCUGAACAGCUGUUGGUUGACGAUGACCUCGGACUGGCUCGGUCGGGUAAGUUUUUAAUUUGCCCGAUCGUUAAUACCGGUCGGCGACGCUACUGCUUUGGGUACUCUCAGGACCCGUCUUGAAACACGGACCAAGGAGUCUAACAUGUGCGCGAGUCAUUGGGACUGAAAAGCCUAAAGGCGUAAUGAAAGUGAAGAUCGUUCUAGCAACGAUCGAGGGAGGAUAGGCCGCGUCACGAUGCGGCUUCGCACUCCCGGGGCGUCUCGUUCUCAUUGCGAGAGGAGGCGCACCCAGAGCGUACACGUUGGGACCCGAAAGAUGGUGAACUAUGCCUGGUCAGGACGAAGUCAGGGGAAACCCUGAUGGAGGUCCGUAGCGAUUCUGACGUGCAAAUCGAUCGUCGGAACUGGGUAUAGGGGCGAAAGACUAAUCGAACCAU